rnacentral:rRNA from 1 species
AGUGAACGCUGGCGGUAGGCCUAACACAUGCAAGUCGAACGGCAGCACAGUAUGAGCUUGCUCUUACGGGUGGCGAGUGGCGGACGGGUGAGGAAUACAUCGGAAUCUACUUUUUCGUGGGGGAUAACGUAGGGAAACUUACGCUAAUACCGCAUACGACCUACGGGUGAAAGCAGGGGAUCUUCGGACCUUGCGCGAUUGAAUGAGCCGAUGUCGGAUUAGCUAGUUGGCGGGGUAAGGGCCCACCAAGGCGACGAUCCGUAGCUGGUCUGAGAGGAUGAUCAGCCACACUGGAACUGAGACACGGUCCAGACUCCUACGGGAGGCAGCAGUGGGGAAUAUUGGACAAAGGGCGCAAGCCUGAUCCAGCCAUACCGCGUGGGUGAAGAAGGCCUUCGGGUUGUAAAGCCCUUUUGUUGGGAAAGAAAAGCAGCAGGUUAAUACCCCGCUGUUCUGACGGUACCCAAAGAAUAAGCACCGGCUAACUUCGUG